UUCAAUGUGGUGUAGUGGUUUGAGUGUUGGACUAUGACUCUGGAGACCAGGGUUUGAUUCCCUACUUGGCCA